UCUCUCUCUAGAUAAAAGUCGUCGUUUUACGCCGAUUUCGCGCCGCGCUCGAUUCUCGCUGGUUAGAAGACUCAAGGGAAGUCUUUGGAACGUGGGAAGGAAGGGUUUUAUUGUGUUUUUCUGUGAGGAUACUGCCUGGGAAGCUGACUCUCAGCUUUAGACAGGGUGUUCCAUCCAGGGGUAAGCUGUAAGUUCAGUUAGAAAACUGAAUUCGCAUGGCUUCGGCUUUUGGAACUCGUAUACGAGCGUUUUGACGCCGUUUACCAUUUCUUCGCAGCAGGAAUGCAAUCGACCCUUGGAUUGUUUUUAGCUGAGUGGUAAGGGCCUUCUGGGAGCUUAACUUGAGGAUUGGGACAUUGUUGAGCUGAUUAUUGGGACAUCUUGUGACUGAUUUGAGCUUAGUACGAGAGCCAUCUACAGGAGA